UACGGAGGGGGCGAGCGUUAUUCGGAAUUAUUGGGCGUAAAGGGCGCGUAGGCGGCCAACACAAGUCAGUUGUGAAAUCUCCGGGCUUAACUCGGAAAGGUCAACUGAUACUGUGCGGCUAGAGUGCAGAAGGGGCAACUGGAAUUCUCGGUGUAGCGGUGAAAUGCGUAGAUAUCGAGAGGAACACCUGCGGCGAAGGCGGGUUGCUGGGCUGACACUGACGCUGAUGCGCGAAAGCCAGGGGAGCGAACGGG
rnacentral:rRNA from 1 species